UCAAUAAUUGAGCAGUAUAUCGGCCUAGAGGCCUUGAGUAUAUCUCAUAAAAAACACGAGAACACUAUACAGUAAAGUUUUUCCUUUUUUCACGUUACGGUUUUCAUUAGCGUAACCCAAACCUGAGCGUAACAAGGGGUUGGGGAAUGGGUAUAGUGUAACGGGGGAGCAGGAGCCAGGAGGGGUGGUCAAGAACUGGCCAAAAAUCGUAACUUAAUUUCAAUUGAGGGACAGCCCCACUGAUGCUGUCCCUGCCCAAAAUUGCAGUAAACCCCAGAGUUUUCAUUGACACAUUUGGCGCUCCAACCACCCCAACCACCACAGAGCUUUUCCCUGGCACAUGCACCACGACAAUCGACAUCGGCGGUGCCUCUUCAAUUCAGAUUUCAGUGUACAGCAAAGAGUGCACUGUUUUGGGGGCUUUGGUGUGCACCAUUACCCUAAUAUACAGCUUUGACCAUAACCACACUAUUGGUGCAGGCAAGGCCCAAAAAACAGGUGCAGGUGCUCAUCGCCUUGGGUGCACCACGUGUCAACCAACAGUUGGCAAAUUGGUCUGUCACUUUAGGUGUCUGCUGCUGAAUAAGGGGAAGCUUUUGCAGGAAUUGACAAUUAUUGACUGGCUGUCAUUUGUUGCCAAUUGCCAUGCAGGUUAACCUGCAAUAAUUAUUGCAAUUUAAAUGAUAAAUCUUGGAUAAAUCGAUAUCUGAAGCCUCUAUGGCCUCAGAUUUUACAAAAAUGGCAGAAGUUUGCAUACUGAUCCUUGCUAGAGGUGGAAGCAAAGGUAUUCCAAGGAAGAACAUGGUGCAUUUUGUGAGCAAAUCUCUAAUUGCUCACUGUAUCUCUACUGCUCGAAUGGUGACAAGUAGAAGCCGACUCUGUAUGGGUAUCCACUGAUGACUCCGCGAUCGCAGCGGAGUCAGAGGCAGCCGGUGCCCGCGUCCACCACCGCAGCGCCGCCACCUCCACCGACACUGCCUCGUCACUGUCUGCUGUACUGGAGUUCCUGGGAGAUAGGCCUGAGGUGGGCACCGUGGCGCUUCUCCAAUGCACCAGUCCUCUGACCCGACCUGAGGACGUCAACCGGGCUCUGGAGAUGCUCGACGGAAGCUACGACUCCGUGUUCUCACUGGUUCGACACCGACCCGGCCUGAUCUGGAGAGAGACGGAGGAUGGCGGCCUGGAGCCGGUGAAUUUCGACCCCCUCAAUCGGCCCCGCCGCCAGGACCUGCCCUCACACCUACAGGAGAGCGGCAACUUCUACGUGACCCGUGCUGCCCUCGUGCGGAGCGAGCGACAACUACAGGCUGGCAGGCGGGGGUAUGUGGAAGUACCCCCUGAGACAGCUAUAGACAUCGACACGCCCUCAGACCUGGAGGUGGCCCGCCUGCUGGCCCGACGGUCACUCACCGGGUCACAGAGGUCAACUACAGAGGUCAAUGGGUCAGAUGGGUCAGGGGAGAGGUCAACUGUAGAGGUCAGGUCGAUAGGAGCAGAGGAGGGAACUAUGGAGGUCAAGGGGUCAAUCAAGAGGUCAGCCGACGGGGCGGAGGAGUCAGUCAAGAGGUCAGCUACAGAGGUCAGCGAGUUACAAUGAGUGAUCAUCUACAAAGGUCAACGGGUCACAGCGAUCUACCGAGAUCCAUGAUCCAGCCGAUGGGUCACAGAUGACGAAACUGACUCGGGACUCGGGUGACUUUCCAGUCGCUUAGUUAUGACGUGGGGAAUCUCUAGUGCCAAAUGUUUUGACUCAGGCUACCAAACUGCAUGACUGUCUCAGCCGUUGAGCUUACCUUAGUCAUGGUGUUAGUGACGUUUUGUAUCCGGUGACAUUCCCUGGGUUCAUCAGCCGUACCUUUUGAGCGUGUUUGUACAUUAUCAGCGUUUUAAUUGAUUUUGUAUCAUUGACUUGAAUGGGCCAGUGGUCCUUGGUGGGAGGUAGCAACCAAAUUAAUUAUUUAAAAUGCGAUGACCUGUUCAUUAAAAGGUGCUGAAUCACGCUACUGCUCAGACAGCUGACGUCACAAGUUCCACAAUGACGUCAUCAGUGGCUUCAUAAGACGCCUCAUAACGGCCGGUGGAUUAGUGGUGACGUCAUAUGAGGCAUUGCUCGGUAAGCCUCUAUGGGGUUUUCGUCAGACUGUAGCACUAGCGACUGAGUCGGCAUGAUUGAAAUGUCACGAGCUGAGCGGGUGGGUCCAAUCUGUGUGCGAAAGUGUGAACGGUAUCUUGAAGCAUUGCCACGUGUGGUUUCUGAUAAGGUUUAUGAGCAGCAGUAAAACUGAGAUGGAGUCGUUUAUCGUCUAGUCAGAAGUGACCAAGAAUUUGUGUAAUUAUUUUGUGUGUAUGUGUGCC
rnacentral:misc_RNA from 1 species